ensembl:lncRNA HRG-AS1 HRG and FETUB antisense RNA 1
CAAGCCAUCCUCCUGCCUCAGCACCCCUGCCCUCAACCCCCAGUAGCUGGGACUACAGGUGUGCACUACCACACCCAGCUAAUUUUGGUAUUUUGUCUAGAGACAGGGUUUUGCCACAUUGUCCAGGCUGGUCUCAAACUCCUGGUCUCAAGCUGCCUGGCCCAGGGUGCUUCUAAUAUGAACACAGCUCAAAACUUAGUUUUGGGACAAGGUGGUGCUGUGAUAAACUCAGCUGGCAAACUCCCAGGGAGCAGAAAGCAAAGGAGAUGCUCCUUGGCUGAACUCCCUCAUUCCAGAAUAAGUAAAAGGCAAAAGAUCCUCUGGAGUUCUUCAACGGGAACUUCGUGAUUUUCCUGCCUUCUCGAAUUUUGAAUUAACUGUUGAAUCUGUUAGACUCACUGAAGUAGAUAUUGAAAGGAAAAUCUACUGAAAGUGAACUAAGUAUGGCCGGGCACGGCAACUCACGCCUGUAAUCCCAGCACUUUGGGAGGCCGAGGUGGGCGGAUCACCUGAGAUGGAGUAUCACUCUUGUUGUCCAGGCUGGAGCGCAAUGGUGCGAUCUUGGCUCACCGCAAUCUCUGCCUCCCGGGUUCAAGCAAUUCUCCUGCCUCAGCCUCCGAGUAGCUGGGAUUACAGGUUGCUGGCAGAGGUGGUUGGGGCUAUGUGCCUGGAGUGAAGAUUCUGCCCAUUGGUCAAGAGACCUCCCUCUCAGAUGCUGGCUCUGCCCCUGCCUUUGGGGGUCGACCCUUGUACUCGCAGGACCUUAGGUG